CUGUUCCUGCAUUUCCUAAAUAUAACUCUUCCUUAGGGACGGCCAACUUACCACCAUUUCCUUUGACUACCAAUGUUUCUCCACCAUCUUCCCAAGAAAAUGUAGCAGCACCUAACGAUUCCAGAGCCGACAUCAUAAACUGGGUAUCGUCUGAGUGAAGCAUGUUAGUAAGACGGCAUGUACCAUUGCCCAUAGCCGCCAAAACAAGAGCGCGAUUGGAGAUUGACUUAGAUCCAGGAGGAGUAACAACAACAUCCCAACUUGAUUUAGUAAAUUCGUCGACCUUUACAUCCCGAGAAAGAAUAAAGCGAAUAUCGUCAUCUGAAACUACUGUAGCAUGUUUUUCGUAAGUUUCACCAAUAGCCUUUAAA